GUGUGAUGGAGACCACAGGUUCCAUCCCAUGUUGAUUAUUGAUAUUAUGUUGUUUUCAGUUCAAAUGUGUUUGUAUUAGUUCUUUGUUUAGUUAUAUUGUGACAUUUGGUGAACAUUCUUUGUGGGUGGGGAGACUGGCCAUCUUUCCUGUUCGGAGAAUGUGGGGGGGGGGAGGAAAUGUCAGUUUGUUUUGAUUUAGAUUAGUUCAAUUUGAGUUAAUUGAGUAUUUGCCUUUCUGGGUGUGUCUCAGCAAGGUGGAUCAGAGAGGGAGACGAAUGCUCCUGGAGCAUACCAACUUCCAUUAAGAGGGGGAAUACUCUGAGGAUUUAUAUUUAGUUAUAUUUACUUUUGAUUGACUUUAGAUUAGUUUAAUUUUAAUAAUUUGCAUGCAUGUAAAUAUUUGUUGGAUCAUUUAUUGUUAGGUUUGUGUAAGUAGUGUUUGUUUGUCUUUUCUUUUUGGAUCACCCCUUUACCUGGUGUAAGUGUUGGAACUUGCCUCAGGUAUAAAUGUCAGCUUCUUUGUUUCACUGAAGGAGGGUGCUGGUGUAAUGAAGAUUUGGAGCUCCCAAAUAAAUCCACCUCAAAGACAUUUGUUGCCUCACUUCCUUCAUUAAACGCAGAGCCUCCGCCGGUCAAAGUGACAUACAAAAUAAAUGAUAGGCAGCACUGAA